rnacentral:rRNA from 1 species
GAUGAACGCUGGCGGCGUGCCUAAUACAUGCAAGUCGAGCGAACGGACGCGAAGCUUGCUUCUUUGACGUUAGCGGCGGACGGGUGAGUAACACGUGGAUAACCUACCUAUAAUUCUGGUAUAACUUCGGGAAACCGGCGCUUAUACCGUAUGAUCUUUUGCACCGCAUGGUUCAAAAGUGAAAUACGGUCUUGCUGUCACUUCUCGCUGGAUCCGCGCUGCAUUAGCUAGUUGGUAAGGUAACGGCUUACCAAGGCAACGAUGCAUAGCCGACCUGAGAGGGUGAUCGGCCACACUGGAGCUGAGACACGGUCAUGACUCCUACGGGAGGCAGCAGUAGGGAAUCUUCCGCAGUAGGCGAAAGCCUGACGGAACAGCGCCACGUGAGAGAUGACAGUCUUCGGAUCGUAAAGCUCUGUUAUUAGGGAAAAACAUAUGUGUAAGUAGAUGUGCACAGCUUGACGGUAACUAAUCAGAAAGCCACGGCUAACUACGUG